rnacentral:rRNA from 1 species
UAGGGAAUUUUGCGCAAUGGACGAAAGUCUGACGCAGCAACGCCGCGUGAGUGAUGAAGGUCUUCGGAUUGUAAAGCUCUGUUGAGUGGGAAGAAAAGUUUCUGUUUUAAUAAAACAGGAGCCUGACGGUACCGCUCGAGGAAGGACCGGCUAACUACGUGCCAGCAGCCGCGGUAAUACGUAGGGUCCAAGCGUUGUUCGGAAUCACUGGGCGUAAAGGGAGCGUAGGCGGAGUCGUAAGUUAGAAGUUUAAUACCCAGGCUUAACCUGGGAUCUGCUUCUAAUACUGCGACCCUUGAGUAUGGAAGAGGGAGAUGGAAUUCCAGGUGUAGCGGUGGAAUGCGUAGAUAUCUGGAAGAACACCAGCAGCGAAGGCGGUCUCCUGGUCCAAUACUGACGCUGAGGCUCGAAAGUUAGGGGAGCAAACAGG